GCAAAGCUACAGUCCCCGCAUAUGCCCAGUGCUAGUCCUUGGAGUCAGAUUGUGCAUCACAGGAUGGUAUGGUGAGGCAGUGAGCACUGGGGGUGUGGGUCAGAUGGCACCAGGUUUGGACCCUAAGACUUAACCUGCACUUCAGGUUCUCACAGGGACGUGAAACAGCCAAAGCCUUAGAAAGGCCUUCAGUGGAGGGGAGCCGCUGUUGCCAUGAUUUAUAAACUGUUCAGAGCAGGUGAGCCUGCUCUCUCUGCAUCCUCAGUGGAUUAGUCAGGAUUCUCUAGAGAGACAGAGCCAAUAGGGGGUGUGUACAUACAUAUAUCUAUGUAUAUACAUAUAUGUCUACAGAGAGAUAUAUAUACAUACAUACACACACACACACACACACACACAUAUAUAUAUAUACACACACACACAUAUGGGGAAGGCAGAUGGAGAGAUUGACUUCAGGAUUGGGUUCAGGUGAUUGUGGAGGCUGGCAAGUCUGAAGUCUGCAGGGCAGGCCAUGCAGGCUGGGAUGAAUUGCAGCUGGAAUCUGAAGGCAGUCACUGGAAGAAUUCCCUCUUCCUGAGGGAGGUUAGGGCUUCUCUGAUAGCUCAGUUGGGAAAGAAUCUGCCUGCAAUGCAGGAGACUCUGGUUCGACUCCUGGGUUAGGAAGCUCUGCUGGAGAAGGGACAGACUACCCACUCCAGUAUCUUGGACUUCCUCUGUGGCUCAGCUGGUAAAGAAUCUGCCUGCAAUAUGGGAGACCUGGGUUCGAUCCCUGGGUUGGGAUGAUCCAAGGUGAAAGGCUCCUGUAUUCUGGUCUGGAGAAUUCAGGGCAAUGGGGUCUCAAGUGUGGUCUGUUCGGUCCUUCAACUUAUUCAAUGAGGCCCACCCACACUAUGGAGGGUAAUCUGCUUUACUCAAAGUCUGCUGAUUUAAAUGUUAAUCUCUUCUAAACACACACACACACACACACACACACACACACACACACACCUAAAACCUUCAUAGAAAUAUCUAUAAAAAUGUGUGACCAAGUACCUGGGUACCAUGGCCUUGCCAAGCUGACAUGUAAUAAUAACCGUCACCCCCAGUACGCAGGCCCAAAUGCACUGAUGCAUUCUGCCCAGCAGCCUCAGCAAAAAGCAUUGCGAGCGCUGUGGGACCUGACAUGGACUCCAUUCAGAAGUCUUUAUUGUCAGAAGCAGCAGAUAAGGCUGAUUGUGCCUUGGCAUCCUGGAGCACAAGAUUGAGGUCAGCAUUGCUCCCGGGUUUUUAGAGCUUGCAGGAUGUGGGGUGGACGCCAGAGCUUCUAGAAUCCAUCAACUCAGUGCCUGGAAGCAGGUGAGCUGCAAGUGCCCAGUGUCAUGGGACAGAUCCUGGCCGUCCUGUUCUUGACAGACUCACGGCCUGGUCCUCAGGUGCAUCUGGUACCCCGUGAAGAGGAGCACAGCGGGAGCAUGUGUGUGCCCUGCAGCAGGCCAGCGCCUCAUUCAAAAGAACCCCACAAGACCGACAUACAACCCCACUAUUCUUAAAUACUUUAUAACAACCAGAAACUACAACCAUCAAAAUGCUUUCAGGGCAGCCCACUCCAAAACGCCAAGGCAGGGGCAACUUGGGCUGCCAGAACUCAAAGCCGGAGACCACCAGCCUCCUCCAUCCCCUCCUGCUUCCAGCCCUCCCGCAUCACAGAUCUUCAUCGUCAAACGUCUCCGUGCACCUCAACAUUAUCAUCUCAUCGUUGACAGGAAGGUCCGGUUCCUGCAAAACAGCAGUAGAAGAGUAUUCAAGUUUUAUCUGAGGGCUCCAGGCCUCAGGCGGGGGAGAUGGCCCCACCAUCUCAGGCAUGCCUCCUCCCUCUGCUUCUCCCCCACAUCUCUUCAGCAGUAUCUUCUCCUCCAGCUCCAGCCAGGAAGUUUCGACUAAUGAGGGGCAGGGAGUCCAUUUCCAUUUCGUUCGUCUCCGUACUCUACCAUCUCCAGAAGGGCUUCUCCUGGAUACAGUAGAACUGGCUUCUCUCCUCUCCUGGGGAUUUCUAAGAACCCAUGAGCGAGACAGUGGCAAUCUUAAAGCUUUAUCCAAAUGCCCUCAACAGAGGAUGAUGAAUUAUACCACGAUGCACCCACCCAUGGAAUACUCUGCAGCUGCUUCCAAUAAAACGAAUGGGCUUCUUCUCUGUGGGACACAUUAUUUCAAAAGAUCACGGUCCAGAGCAGUGUGUAUAGUGGGUGACAAUUUGCAUCUGAUGUGUGUGUGCUCAGUUGUGCCUGACUCUUUGCGAUCCCAUGGACUGUAGCCUGCUAGACUUCUCUGUCCCUGGGAUUUUCCAGGCAAGAAUAUUGGAGUGGGUUGCUAUUUCCUUCUCCAGGAGAUCUUCCCAACCCAGGGGUCAAACCUGGGUCUCCUGCAUUGCAGGCAGAUUCUUUACCACUAGCGCCACCUGGGAAUACCAUUUGUAUUUGAUAGAUUAUAUAAGUAGCUGGAGAAUAUUUCUGGAUGACUGAAUGAGAAAUUGGUCAUGAUCAUUGCCUUUGGGGGAGGGAAUGCCAUAGGAACAAGGAACAUUGGUUAGCUAUUUGGGGAUCAUUUUGAAAAGAAACAGCAUUAUAUUAAUUUAGCAAGUGUUUCUCAUUCCCUAACAAUGACACUAGCUAACCUGAUUCCCCAUUACCCCUUCCCCUAAAAGUACAUUCCUGGGUUUGUGUUCUUUAAGCAUAUCCCACCCCAGCAGAAAAUCACCCCUGUAGUUCAUUAGCGCUGCUCGUUAGGGGUUGAUUCCCUUGGGCCUUGGGAAGCACCCCUAAUCAAGCCAACCAUCUCAUGGAUGUAGAGCAAGAUUGGGGGUGAUUCUGAGAAUGAAGCUCCAGAGAAUGGUCCUCAUCUGCCAUGCCCUCCUGAUAGGGGUGGGGCACAUCAGAGCCAGAGUAUCCCAGAGGGGGAAGAACUGGUCAAAGGAAAAUCACCGGACCCCUUGUUUAGGGUGAGUAUGAUGGCAAAGGUUGAGAAAAUGGGGAGCUGGAAUGUGGAGGAUGCCCCGAGGCCAAACAUCUGGGGAGGGAGCCACACACUGGAGCCUGUCACAGAGUGCCUGAAGGUCAUUCCAAAUGUUCUGCUUCCUUCAGUCAGUUCAGUUCAGUCGCUCAGUCGUGUCCGACUCUUUGCGACCCCAUGAACCACAGCACGCCAGGCCUCCAUCACCAGCUCCUGGAGUUCACCCAGACUCAAGUCCAUUGAUUCGGUAAUGCCAUCCAACCAUCUCUAAGCCCCUGCAAACGAUGAUGAGGGACUCUCCAGCUGCAGAUCUGUGAAAUCGCUGGGCUGCUAGAGGUGUCUGCUGGGACUGGGUGCUGAGGUGUGUUGAGUAGCAGUCCCCCAGUUCACGCCCACCUGGAGCCUAUUUGAAACUAGAGUCUGUGCAGAUGUGAUUAACUAAGGCUGUAAGCUGAAGUCAUCCUGGAUUUGGGGUGUGCCCUCGAUCCAAACGAUAGGUGUCCUUACACGGUGAGGGGACACAGAGAUCUGUGAAGAAGACAGAAGACAGAGGCAGCGAUGCAGCUACAAGUGCAGGGGUCUCCAGCACUGCUGGGAGCCACCGGGAGCUAGGAAAAGGCAGGAGAAAUCCUCCCCUAGAGCUUUCAGGGGGAGCAUGGCGGGUCAACACCAAAACUGGGCCUUCUGGGAGAAUAAAUUUUUGUUGUUUUAAGCCCCUGAGUUUGUGGUAAUUUGUUACAUGAGUCCUAGGAAACCAAUACAGGCACUGGGAUGAACGGGGAGGAGAAUGCAGUUGCCCUCUUUACACACCCUGUACCAAGGCCUGAGGCCUCCCACAUGAGGACACUCUUGGGCAGCUUGUUCAAGACACAGAUUCCUGGGGCCACAUCUCACAACACUGAAUGGAAAUCUUGAGUGGGGGGAUGUCAGGAAUCUGCAUUCCAAUGAGCUCCCAAGGUGAGUCAAGUCUGAGCGCCUCUGCUUUACAUGAGCUCCAGUCCUGCCAGUUCUUUCUCUCCUGCUAUGUGUAAGUAAUGAAGUGGGGAAAACAAAGACUGUCCUGUCCAUCUGCUCUCAAAGCCUUGGUAAAGUGACCUGACUUCACUGUGCCCAGAGAAAGGGACUCGGUGGUCAGGGCUGGCGGCCAAGGGUUGGUGGGGGGUGCAGAGAGCAAACUGCAGGAAUCGGCCUUGGCUCCAAGUGGUCUCAGCAGAGGGAAGUGAAGGGUAAGCAGGAAAAGGGCCACUUUGAAAAGCAGCCCUGAUUAUUUUUGGACAUUUUCAUCAUUAUCACGUACCUUUUAAAAUAAACAGCUAUAUUUUUGCUAAAUCAGUGGGAAAAAUCCAUGGCUCUGAAUCUGAAAGGGGCUGUCUCCUUGGCAGCUCAUCAAUAACCCCCUCCCUCUAUGGAAACUUCCAGGAAUGGACCUUCUAACCAAGACCCCCACAAUGCAUGUUCACUGUGGGCUGCACAGUCAGCUUUUUGGAAGCAGAAUUAAUAUCCUUCAAAAGCUGACAGCAAAUAUAACCCCAGCAUCUCAGAAAAUGAUGAACUAGUUCAGCCUCUCAAAAGGCAUCGAGGAAUCACACAUGUAGGAAUGCCUGCCAAGGGCCAGGCCUCUAAGGUCUGGUCCCUGUCUCGAGGCUCCCAGGCUCGGAUGCGCCCUGCAGAGCUCCCCCUGCCUCUUCCCUGGACAUCCUCCUUCACAAGAUGCAUUAGACUAAAGUCAACUAUCCAUGGAAGAGCGUCCCCCCGUGGUGUGAACUGGGGGAGCUUCAGCCAGUGCUCCCCUCCAAGCCCACCAUCUGAGGGAAGGCGAGCCAAGGCCUGACUGCACCCUGCUCCAUCCUACCUGUUUGAACUGAGUGUUAACACAGCAAAAGCCUUUGAAAAAAUCGAUGAUAUGCACAUACAGCUGAAACUUGUCCUCGGGAUUUUUUGAGUUGCAAACAGCCAGCUAGGAACUAAGGGCAGAAAGGAGGAAGAAACAGCAGUUAAAGAUGCUCUUCUGACUUCAGGGGGUCAUCCCUCCUUCUACAUCCUUCCCAUCAGCACUGUGAAAACAGCUUCUCCCCUUGUGCAGCUCAGAGACUCUGUCACUCACCCCAAGGCUCAGGCAUGGGGCCUGUUUCCAUGUUGGCCCAGACUCUUUCUGUCCACCUCUCAAACCAGACUGACUGCUGAAACCCACCCACGGCCACCUCACCCCAGGAGACAGUGCAAACCACCUAGAGUUGACAACUCAUUGAUGUAUCUCAGCCCUGGGUCACAUCGGGAGAACUGUCUCUGCUGAAGAAGCCCCAGAGAAGAUCCUCCCCACGGCAAUGGCACAAUCCUAGGACCAGCCUUUUCUGAAUCACAGGAAAAAGUGGAUUUCCAAGAACUUCCACUGAAUUAUGCUCCCCUCUGAGAGGCUGCAAGGGAGAGGGUCCUAAACACCCAACAGGGACACCCACACACCCACACAGUCUCAUACCCCUCCUCACCUGGGACUAGAUGUGCCUGGACCCUCACUUUUGUCCAGGAAACCUGCCACAUCGAAGGCAUCUUCAAAAAGGAUCUGAAAGAAACCACAAAACUUCACGUGUCAGAAAUCCGCCACACUCUGAUGUUUGCUCUGGACUGCCGAGGGAUAGAAAAGCUACCUACCUCUUGUCCCCAAAGGGGUGCAUGUUAAAGCUGAGGCCCAAACCCAGGGUCUCUGCUUGGUGACCUUUACAGGAGAUAAAUAUGAAGUUCUUGACCACCCAGAAAAAACUGCCAACCCCAGAGAGUGGCUGAGAGAGGGAAAGCACUGGGGACAACCGUCUCCUCUUUCUAAAGAGGGUGGGAGCUUAGGCGGGAGAGGCAACAGCCAGAGGUGAGCCUCUGUUUACACAGGAAAGGGUUCAUCUACACCGCCCAAGGGACAGACUGAGCCCAGCAUCCACAAUCUAGCAGUUCCAUUCCAGGGGAACAGAGGUUCAAGGGCUCGGGGGUUAGGUUGCAGAGAGUCCACUCCCAGGGUGGAUAUGCCACAGUCAACCCGCUCCCUCCCACGUCCCUGCCCCAACCUCACUCCACCUUGGGAGUGCCUUGCAGUCACACCAGUCACUUGGGGUGCUUGUUAGAAACACAGAUUCUGAGCCAUCCCCUCCAAGACUCGGAUUCAGUGGGUCUAGCGUAAUAGCCAAGCACCUGCCUUUUAACUAAACUCCACUUGAGAAGCCUGGAGGGUCAACAAUAAACUAGAGACCAAAUGCCGAGAUUU